CUUCACAGAGAUUUCUGUUUCACAUCACAUGUUUCCUGCUAAUCUGUCUUCCAUUCUUCUGUUUCAAUAAUAUUUUAAAUGUUAAUUUUAAUCAUAAAAUUUUACCACUUUGCCACUGCAAUCAGGGAACUCUACUCUCCAGAAGUUGUAGAUGUGGGAUGGAGCAUGCAGUUAAUAUCCAUUACCAAUUGCUGCCAACUAGUAAAAUUUGCUGUGUAUUUAAGGUACUAAAAAAAUCACCUAAGACUUAAGUGAAUAAUUUAAAAUGUGGUAAUGAUAUCUCUCCCUUUAUUACUAAUUUAUUAUGAGAAAUUUUAUGCUUGCCCUUGUUUCCCAUAUUUCUAAACAGAUAUUUUUUCCAACAGAAUGGGAAGUACAAAGAUUAAAUGAGUGUCAGUUUUCAUAUUCACAGGUUGCCUAUAUAGAUUUUUUUAAAGCUGUAUGAAGGAAAUGAAGUAGUAUAAUGAAUCCAUG
rnacentral:lncRNA from 1 species